rnacentral:rRNA from 1 species
GACGAACGCUGGCGGCGUGCCUAAUACAUGCAAGUCGAGCGGACGAAUCGAAAGCUUGCUUUUGAUUCGUUAGCGGCGGACGGGUGAGUAACACGUGGGCAACCUGCCCUGUAGACGGGGAUAACACCGAGAAAUCGGUGCUAAUACCGGAUAACACGAAAUGUCGCAUGACGUUUCGUUGAAAGACGGCGCAAGCUGUCGCUACAGGAUGGGCCCGCGGCGCAUUAGCUAGUUGGUGAGGUAACGGCUCACCAAGGCGACGAUGCGUAGCCGACCUGAGAGGGUGAUCGGCCACACUGGGACUGAGACACGGCCCAGACUCCUACGGGAGGCAGCAGUAGGGAAUCUUCCGCAAAGGGCGAAAGUCUGACGGAGCAACGCCGCGUGAGCGAAGAAGGCCUUCGGGUCGUAAAGCUCUGUUGUUAGGGAAGAACAAGUAGCGCAGUAACUGGCGUUACCGUGACGGUACCUAACGAGAAAGCCACGGCUAACUACGUG